rnacentral:rRNA from 1 species
UACGUAGGGUGCAAGCGUUGUCCGGAAUUAUUGGGCGUAAAGAGCUCGUAGGCGGUUUGUCGCGUCGAAUGUGAAAACCCGGGGCUCAACUCCGGGCCUGCAUUCGAUACGGGCAGACUAGAGUUCGGUAGGGGAGACUGGAAUUCCUGGUGUAGCGGUGAAAUGCGCAGAUAUCAGGAGGAACACCGGUGGCGAAGGCGGGUCUCUGGGCCGGUACUGACGCUGAGACGCGAAAGCGUGGGGAGCGAACAGG